rnacentral:rRNA from 1 species
AUGCAGUCGAGCGGACAGAUGGGAGCUUGCUCCCUGAUGUUAGCGGCGGACGGGUGAGUAACACGUGGGUAACCUGCCUGUAAGACUGGGAUAACUCCGGGAAACCGGGGCUAAUACCGGAUGCUUGAUUGAACCGCAUGGUUCAAUUAUAAAAGGUGGCUUUUAGCUACCACUUACAGAUGGACCCGCGGCGCAUUAGCUAGUUGGUGAGGUAACGGCUCACCAAGGCGACGAUGCGUAGCCGACCUGAGAGGGUGAUCGGCCACACUGGGACUGAGACACGGCCCAGACUCCUACGGGAGGCAGCAGUAGGGAAUCUUCCGCAAUGGACGAAAGUCUGACGGAGCAACGCCGCGUGAGUGAUGAAGGUUUUCGGAUCGUAAAACUCUGUUGUUAGGGAAGAACAAGUACCGUUCGAAUAGGGCGGUACCUUGACGGUACCUAACCAGAAAGCCACGGCUAACUACGUGCCAGCAGCCGCGGUAAUACGUAGGUGGCAAGCGUUGUCCGGAAUUAUUGGGCGUAAAGCGCGCGCAGGCGGUUUCUUAAGUCUGAUGUGAAAGCCCCCGGCUCAACCGGGGAGGGUCAUUGGAAACUGGGGAACUUGAGUGCAGAAGAGGAGAGUGGAAUUCCACGUGUAGCGGUGAAAUGCGUAGAGAUGUGGAGGAACACCAGUGGCGAAGGCGACUCUCUGGUCUGUAACUGACGCUGAGGCGCGAAAGCGUGGGGAGC